GACGAACGCUGGCGGCGUGCUUAACACAUGCAAGUCGAACGGAAAGGCCCUGCUUUUGUGGGGUGCUCGAGUGGCGAACGGGUGAGUAACACGUGAGUAACCUGCCCUUGACUUUGGGAUAACUUCAGGAAACUGGGGCUAAUACCGGAUAGGAGCUCCUGCUGCAUGGUGGGGGUUGGAAAGUUUCGGCGGUUGGGGAUGGACUCGCGGCUUAUCAGCUUGUUGGUGGGGUAGUGGCUUACCAAGGCUUUGACGGGUAGCCGGCCUGAGAGGGUGACCGGCCACAUUGGGACUGAGAUACGGCCCAGACUCCUACGGGAGGCAGCAGUGGGGAAUAUUGCACAAUGGGCGGAAGCCUGAUGCAGCAACGCCGCGUGCGGGAUGACGGCCUUCGGGUUGUAAACCGCUUUCGCCUGUGACGAAGCGUGAGUGACGGUAAUGGGUAAAGAAGCACCGGCUAACUACGUGCCAGCAGCCGCGGUGAUACGUAGGGUGCGAGCGUUGUCCGGAUUUAUUGGGCGUAAAGGGCUCGUGGGUGGUUGAUCGCGUCGGAAGUGUAAUCUUGGGGCUUAACCCUGAGCGUGCUUUCGAUACGGGUUGACUUGAGGAAGGUAGGGGAGAAUGGAAUUCCUGGUGGAGCGGUGGAAUGCGCAGAUAUCAGGAGGAACACCAGUGGCGAAGGCGGUUCUCUGGGCCUUUCCUGACGCUGAGGAGCGAAAGCGUGGGGAGCGAACAGGCUUAGAUACCCUGGUAGUCCACGCUGUAAACGGUGGGUACUAGGUGUGGGGUCCAUUCCACGGGUUCCGUGCCGUAGCUAACGCUUUAAGUACCCCGCCUGGGGAGUACGGCCGCAAGGCUAAAACUCAAAGGAAUUGACGGGGCCCCGCACAAGCGGCGGAGCAUGCGGAUUAAUUCGAUGCAACGCGUAGAACCUUACCUGGGUUUGACAUGGAUCGGGAGUGCUCAGAGAUGGGUGUGCCUCUUUUGGGGUCGGUUCACAGGUGGUGCAUGGCUGUCGUCAGCUCGUGUCGUGAGAUGUUGGGUUAAGUCCCGCAACGAGCGCAACCCUUGUUCACUGUUGCCAGCACGUUAUGGUGGGGACUCAGUGGAGACCGCCGGGGUCAACUCGGAGGAAGGUGGGGAUGGCGUCAAGUCAUCAUGCCCCUUAUGUCCAGGGCUUCACGCAUGCUACAAUGGCUGGUACAGAGAGUGGCGAGCCUGUGAGGGUGAGCGAAUCUCGGAAAGCCGGUCUCAGUUCGGAUUGGGGUCUGCAACUCGACCUCAUGAAGUCGGAGUCGCUAGUAAUCGCAGAUCAGCAACGCUGCGGUGAAUACGUUCCCGGGGCU
rnacentral:rRNA from 1 species